rnacentral:rRNA from 1 species
GCUUGGGGGUUUUUCUUCUGGGUGGUGAGUGGCGAACGGGUGAGUAACACGUGAGUAACCUGCCCUCUUCUUUGGGAUAACGGCUGGAAAUGGCUGCUAAUACCGGGUGUGGCCUCGUGCCUGCAUGGGUGUGGGGUGAUAGGGCCAUCGUUUGGUGGUUUGGUGGGGGAUGGGCUCGCGGCUUAUCAGCUUGUUGGUGGGGUGAUGGCUUACCAAGGCUUUGACGGGUAGCCGGCCUGAGAGGGUGACCGGUCACAUUGGGACUGAGAUACGGCCCAGACUCCUACGGGAGGCAGCAGUGGGGAAUUUUGCACAAUGGGCGAAAGCCUGAUGCAGCGACGCCGCGUGAGGGAUGGAGGCCUUCGGGUUGUGAACCUCUUUCGCUCAUGGUCANNNCNNNNNNNNGCUCGUGGUGAGGGUAGUGGGUAAAGAAGCUCCGGCUAACUACGUGCCAGCAGCCGCGGUAAUACGUAGGGAGCGAGCGUUGUCCGGAAUUAUUGGGCGUAAAGGGCUUGUAGGCGGUUUGUCGCGUCUGCCGUGAAAUUCCUUGGCUUAACUGGGGGAGUGCGGUGGGUACGGGCAGGCUUGAGUGCGGUAGGGGAGACUGGAAUUCCUGGUGUAGCGGUGGAAUGCGCAGAUAUCAGGAGGAACACCGGUGGCGAAGGCGGGUCUCUGGGCCGUUACUGACGCUGAGGAGCGAAAGCGUGGGGAGCGAACAGGAUUAGAUACCCUGGUAGUCCAUGCUGUAAACGUUGGGCACUAGGUGUGGGGGCCGCCCUUGGUUUCCGCGCCGUAGCUAACGCUUUAAGUGCCCCGCCUGGGGAGUACGGCCGCAAGGCUAAAACUCAAAGGAAUUGACGGGGGCCCGCACAAGCGGCGGAGCAUGCGGAUUAAUUCGAUGCAACGCGAAGAACCUUACCAAGGCUUGACAUGCACCCUGGGUGGCCUGAGAGGGUCGCGCAUUUGGUUGGGGGUGUGCAGGUGGUGCAUGGUUGUCGUCAGCUCGUGUCGUGAGAUGUUGGGUUAAGUCCCGCAACGAGCGCAACCCUUGCCCUAUGUUGCCAGCACGUUGUGGUGGG